GAUGAACGCUGGCGGCGUGCCUAACACAUGCAAGUCGAGCGAUUCUCUUCGGAGAAGAGCGGCGGACGGGUGAGUAACGCGUGGGUAACCUGCCCUGUACACACGGAUAACAUACCGAAAGGUAUGCUAAUACGAGAUAAUAUGCUUUUAUCGCAUGGUAGAAGUAUCAAAGUUUUUGCGGUACAGGAUGGACCCGCGUCUGAUUAGCUGGUUGGUAAGGUAACGGCUUACCAAGGCGACGAUCAGUAGCCGACCUGAGAGGGUGAUCGGCCACAGUGGAACUGAAACACGGGCCAAACUCCUAGGGGAGGCAGCAGUGGGGAAUAUUGCACAAUGGGCGAAAGCCUGAUGCAGCAACGCCGCGUGAGCGAUGAAGGCCUUCGGGUCGUAAAGCUCUGUCCUCAAGGAAGAUAAUGACGGUACUUGAGGAGGAAGCCCCGGCUAACUACGUGCCAGCAGCCGCCGUAA
rnacentral:rRNA from 1 species